CCUACGGGUGGCAGCAGUGAGGAAUAUUGGUCAAUGGGCGAGAGCCUGAACCAGCCAAGUCGCGUGAGGGAAGACGGUCCUAUGGAUUGUAAACCUCUUUUGCCGGGGAGCAAAAAGCGGUACGUGUACCGCAUCGAGAGUACCCGGAGAAAAAGCAUCGGCUAACUCCGUGCCAGCAGCCGCGGUAAUACGGAGGAUGCGAGCGUUAUCCGGAUUUAUUGGGUUUAAAGGGUGCGCAGGCGGCGAGUUAAGUCAGCGGGAAAAUUUCGGGGCUCAACCCCGACGAGACGUUGAAACUGGCUUGCUAGAGUGGGCGAGAAGUAUGCGGAAUGCGUGGUGUAGCGGUGAAAUGCAUAGAUAUACGGAGGAACACCAGUGGCGAAGGCGGAUUGCUGGACAGUAACUGACGCUGAGGCGCGAAAGCGUGGGGAGCAAACAGGAUUAGAUACCCGAGUAGUC
rnacentral:rRNA from 1 species